AAGGUCACAGGGGCCCUUNGUUUUUGCCACAGAAUACAUUAGCACGGAUAAUUNAAUAGGACCUGACCUCCUAUUUUCAGUGGUUUGUUUAUACAGCGAGGUUCAUCAGGUAAUGAUUAAUAGGGAUAGUGGGGGCAUUAAUAUUUAAUGUCAGAGGUGAAAUUCUGGAUUUAUGAAAGAUUAACUUCUGCGAAAGCGUGCCAAGGAUGUUUCAUUAAUCAAGAACGAAAGUUAGGGGAUCGAAGACGAUCAGAUACCGUCGUAGUCUUAACCAUAAACGAUGCCGACCAGCGAUUAGGAGACGUUGAAUACAAAACACCGCGUGUUAGUCCUUUCGGGGAUUAAUAGUUGGUGAAUGACUCCCCUAGCAGCUUGUGAGAA
rnacentral:rRNA from 1 species